rnacentral:tRNA from 1 species
GGGGGCUAGCUCAGCGGUAGAGCAGCUGACUCCAGAUCAGCCGGUCAGUGGUUCAAUCCCUCUAGCCCUCAC